rnacentral:rRNA from 1 species
UACGGGGGGAGCAAGCGUUGUUCGGAUUUACUGGGCGUAAAGGGCGCGUAGGCGGCCUGUGCAAGUCAGUUGUGAAAUCUCCGGGCUUAACUCGGAACGGUCAACUGAUACUGCUCGGCUAGAGUGCGGAAGGGGCAACUGGAAUUCUUGGUGUAGCGGUGAAAUGCGUAGAUAUCAAGAGGAACACCUGCGGCGAAGGCGGCAUCCUGGACCGACACUGACGCUGAGGAGCGAAAGCCAGGGGAGCAAACGGG